rnacentral:rRNA from 1 species
UACAGAGGGGGCGAGCGUUGUUCGGAAUUACUGGGCGUAAAGGGCGCGUAGGCGGCUUGUCAAGUCACUUGUGAAAUCUCUGGGCUUAACCCAGAACGGCCAAGUGAAACUGACAUGCUAGAGUGCAGAAGGGGCAAUCGGAAUUCUUGGUGUAGCGGUGAAAUGCGUAGAUAUCAAGAGGAACACCUGAGGUGAAGACGGGUUGCUGGGCUGACACUGACGCUGAGGCGCGAAAGCCAGGGGAGCAAACGGG